rnacentral:rRNA from 1 species
UACGAAGGGGGCUAGCGUUGCUCGGAAUCACUGGGCGUAAAGGGUGCGUAGGCGGGUCUUUAAGUCAGGGGUGAAAUCCUGGAGCUCAACUCCAGAACUGCCUUUGAUACUGAAGAUCUUGAUUUCGGGAGAGGUGAGUGGAACUGCGAGUGUAGAGGUGAAAUUCGUAGAUAUUCGCAAGAACACCAGUGGCGAAGGCGGCCCGCUGGGCAGUGGCUGACGCUGAGGCGCGACAGCGUGGGGAGCAAACAGG